rnacentral:rRNA from 1 species
AUAAGGAGUCAGACCUGCCCAGUGAUUUUUUUCAACGGCCGCGGUACUCUGACCGUGCAAAGGUAGCAUAAUCAUUUGUCUUUUAAUUGAAGACUAGUAUGAAUGGUUCCAUAAGAAUAUAACUGUCUCCAUAUAAUUCAACAAAAUUUUAUCAUAAGGUGAAGAAGCCUUAAUCCAAUUAAAAGACAAGAAGACCCUAUCGAGCUUUAGAAAAAUUAAUAGAAUACAUAAAUAAAGAUUAAAAAACUAACUAUUAAAAACUUUAGUUGGGGCGACUGAGGAACAAACAAAGCUUCCUUUAAUAAUAAAAACACUCAAGUAUUGAUCCAAACAUUUUGAUUAAAGAAAUUAGUUACCGUAGGGAUAACAGCAUUAUCUUUUUUAAGAGUUCUUAUCGAAAAAAAGGUUUGUGACCUCGAUGUUGGACCAGAAUAUCCUAAAGGUGCAGAAGCCUUUAAGGGUUGGUCUGUUCGACCAUUAAAAUUCUA